AAAUUGAAGAGUUUGAUCAUGGCUCAGAUUGAACGCUGGCGGCAGGCCUAACACAUGCAAGUCGAGCGGAAACGAGUUAUCAGAACCUUCGGGGGACGAUAGCGGCGUCGAGCGGCGGACGGGUGAGUAAUGCCUAGGAAAUUGCCCUGAUGUGGGGGAUAACCAUUGGAAACGAUGGCUAAUACCGCAUGAUGCCUACGGGCCAAAGAGGGGGACCUUCGGGCCUCUCGCGUCAGGAUAUGCCUAGGUGGGAUUAGCUAGUUGGUGAGGUAAGGGCUCACCAAGGCGACGAUCCCUAGCUGGUCUGAGAGGAUGAUCAGCCACACUGGAACUGAGACACGGUCCAGACUCCUACGGGAGGCAGCAGUGGGGAAUAUUGCACAAUGGGCGCAAGCCUGAUGCAGCCAUGCCGCGUGUGUGAAGAAGGCCUUCGGGUUGUAAAGCACUUUCAGUCGUGAGGAAGGCGGUGUAGUUAAUAGCUGCAUCGUUUGACGUUAGCGACAGAAGAAGCACCGGCUAACUCCGUGCCAGCAGCCGCGGUAAUACGGAGGGUGCGAGCGUUAAUCGGAAUUACUGGGCGUAAAGCGCAUGCAGGUGGUUUGUUAAGUCAGAUGUGAAAGCCCGGGGCUCAACCUCGGAAUUGCAUUUGAAACUGGCAGACUAGAGUACUGUAGAGGGGGGGGGGUAGAAUUUCAGGUGUAGCGGUGAAAUGCGUAGAGAUCUGAAGGAAUACCGGUGGCGAAGGCGGCCCCCUGGACAGAUACUGACACUCAGAUGCGAAAGCGUGGGGGAGCAAACAGGAUUAGAUACCCUGGUAGUCCACGCCGUAAACGAUGUCUACUUGGAGGUUGUGGCCUUGAGCCGUGGCUUUCGGAGCUAACGCGUUAAGUAGACCGCCUGGGGAGUACGGUCGCAAGAUUAAAACUCAAAUGAAUUGACGGGGGGCCCGCACAAGCGGUGGAGCAUGUGGUUUAAUUCGAUGCAACGCGAAGAACCUUACCUACUCUUGACAUCCAGAGAACUUUCCAGAGAUGGAUUGGUGCCUUCGGGAACUCUGAGACAGGUGCUGCAUGGCUGUCGUCAGCUCGUGUUGUGAAAUGUUGGGUUAAGUCCCGCAACGAGCGCAACCCUUAUCCUUGUUUGCCAGCGAGUAAUGUCGGGAACUCCAGGGAGACUGCCGGUGAUAAACCGGAGGAAGGUGGGGACGACGUCAAGUCAUCAUGGCCCUUACGAGUAGGGCUACACACGUGCUACAAUGGCGCAUACAGAGGGCGGCCAACUUGCGAAAGUGAGCGAAUCCCAAAAAGUGCGUCGUAGUCCGGAUUGGAGUCUGCAACUCGACUCCAUGAAGUCGGAAUCGCUAGUAAUCGUGGAUCAGAAUGCCACGGUGAAUACGUUCCCGGGCCUUGUACACACCGCCCGUCACACCAUGGGAGUGGGCUGCAAAAGAAGUAGGUAGUUUAACCUUCGGGGGGACGCUUACCACUUUGUGGUUCAUGACUGGGGUGAAGUCGUAACAAGGUAGCGCUAGGGGAACCUGGCGCUGGAUCACCUCCUUA
rnacentral:rRNA from 1 species